rnacentral:ncRNA from 2 species
GCCCCCGCAGGGAAUGGGGUCUCCCUUGUAACCGCGAUCGUGCUGAUGACUCCUGCUUUAUC